CAUCUACUCGUAGAGAUGAUGAUGCCGACCCUUGAUACAUAUUGUAGAUUGUGUCACUUGACAGCUAGGAGUGAUGUCUACAGCUUCGGGGCAUGGAGGCAGGGCUUAUGCUUUGUGAUUGCCAGCUUGUCCCAGGAUCACUACAGAUUGGCAUUUAUGGACGACUUUGAACCUUCUAGUCAUGUGGCUGAUUCUACUAAAUCUGACAAUGACAAUGAUGAGGUUGCAGCCAUGGCAAAGUCCUUAAAGAAGAAGGCAAAGGAGUUUAAGCAGCAGGAAGCCCAUGAAAAUGUCAAUGCUGAGUCAUAUAUUGUCAAUGCAGAAAAUGCGCGUUCUAAAAAGAAGCUGAAAUCUUCCAAGUCUAAUUAAUCAAAGGCCAGUUUCAAUCACAUGGAGAGAGGGGACAGGAUUGCUUUUUUCCUUUGAUUUUCUUUAUUGAAACAAAAGCACUGUGUUUUUAUCUUAUAAACCGAAAGGAGUAGAAGUGAAAGCUCAAUUUUCAGGUUGGCUGCUCUGCGACGCGAUGAUCCUAGUACUUUUGUUUUGAGCAACUGCUUCAUACCGUCAUGGUGUUAAGAACCAACCAACAAUUAUAUGCUGUCUUGUAACACAUCAGUUUUGAGGGUGUCAAAAUCAGUUGAACAGGUCGACUGUUUUUAGCCUUUGU